GGGUUGUGAGGUUAAGCGACUAAGCGUACACGGUGGAUGCCCUGGCAGUCAGAGGCGAUGAAGGACGUGCUAAUCUGCGAUAAGCGCCGGUAAGGUGAUAUGAACCGUUAUAACCGGCGAUUUCCGAAUGGGGAAACCCAGUGUGAUUCGUCACACUAUCAUUAACUGAAUCCAUAGGUUAAUGAGGCGAACCGGGGGAACUGAAACAUCUAAGUACCCCGAGGAAAAGAAAUCAACCGAGAUUCCCCCAGUAGCGGCGAGCGAACGGGGAGGAGCCCAGAGCCUGAAUCAGCAUGUGUGUUAGUGGAAGCGUCUGGAAAGGCGCGCGAUACAGGGUGACAGCCCCGUACACAAAAGCGCAUGUGCUGUGAGCUCGAUGAGUAGGGCGGGACACGUGGUAUCCUGUCUGAAUAUGGGGGGACCAUCCUCCAAGGCUAAAUACUCCUGACUGACCGAUAGUGAACCAGUACCGUGAGGGAAAGGCGAAAAGAACCCCGGCGAGGGGAGUGAAAAAGAACCUGAAACCGUGUACGUACAAGCAGUGGGAGCACCCUUUUGGGUGUGACUGCGUACCUUUUGUAUAAUGGGUCAGCGACUUAUAUUCUGUAGCAAGGUUAACCGAAUAGGGGAGCCGGAGGGAAACCGAGUCUUAAUUGGGCGUUAAGUUGCAGGGUAUAGACCCGAAACCCGGUGAUCUAGCCAUGGGCAGGUUGAAGGUUGGGUAACACUAACUGGAGGACCGAACCGACUAAUGUUGAAAAAUUAGCGGAUGACCUGUGGCUGGGGGUGAAAGGCCAAUCAAACCGGGAGAUAGCUGGUUCUCCCCGAAAGCUAUUUAGGUAGCGCCUCGUGAA
rnacentral:rRNA from 1 species